rnacentral:rRNA from 1 species
UGAGGGAAUAUUGGGUCAAUGGGGCGGAAGCCUGAACCAGCCAAGUAGCGUGAGGGAUGACUGCCCUAUGGGUUGUAAACCUCUUUUAUAAGGGAAUAAAUACGGGACGUGUCCUGUUUUGCAUGUACCUUAUGAAUAAGGACCGGCUAAUUCCGUGCCAGCAGCCGCGGUAAUACGGAAGGUCCGGGCGUUAUCCGGAUUUAUUGGGUUUAAAGGGUGCGCAGGCGGCGCGCCAAGUCAGCGGUCAAAGUUCCGGGCUCAACCCGGUGUCGCCGUUGAAACUGGCGUGCUCGAGUGCGUGCGAGGAAGGCGGAAUGCGUUGUGUAGCGGUGAAAUGCAUAGAUAUGACGCAGAACUCCGAUUGCGAAGGCAGCUUUCCAGCGCGCUACUGACGCUGAGGCACGAAAGCGUGGGGAUCGAACAGGAUUAGAUACCCUGGUAGU